GACGAACGCUGGCGGCGUGCUUAACACAUGCAAGUCGAACGGACAGGCCCUGCUCUUGCGGGGUGCUCGAGUGGCGAACGGGUGAGUAACACGCGAGUAACCUGCCCCUGACUUUGGGAUAACUCCAGGAAACUGGGGCUAAUACCGGAUAGGAGCUCCUGCUGCAUGGUGGGGGUUGGAGAGUUUCGGCGGUGGGGGAUGGUCUCGCGGGUUAUCAGCUUGUUGGGGGGGUAGUGGCUUACCAAGGCUUUGACGGGUAGCCGGCCUGAGAGGGUGACCGGCGACAAUGGGACUGAGAUACGGCCCAGACUCCUACGGGAGGCAGCAGUGGGGAGUAUUGCACAAUGGGCGGGAGCCUGAUGCAGCAACGCCGCGUGCGGGAUGACGGGCUUCGAGUUGUAAACCGCUGUCGCCUGUGACGAAGCGGGAGUGACGGUAAUGGGUAAGGAAGCACCGGCUAACUACGUG
rnacentral:rRNA from 1 species